GACCGCGUAGCUCAGUUGGAAGAGCAUUGGGGUAGUAUUCCAAAGGUCGUAGGUUCGAAUCCCACCGUGGCCA
rnacentral:tRNA from 1 species